rnacentral:lncRNA from 1 species
CGGAAAACUACUUUCACACCAGCUAUGGUUCUGAGCCCUGGCCAUGCACCAGAAUCACCUGUGCAAUUUGAAAACUGCACAUGUCCACCCUGAAAGUCUGAUUUGGGUCUGGGUUGAGGCCCGGAUGUGGGUAGUUUUUAAAGGUCCCUAGUGGUUCAGAAGCAUAGCCAGGGUACAGCUGGUCCACACACAUCCCCAGCACUCUCAUCCCUGACCACAGCUUCCAAUUGCCAGUUGGUUGACAAUUCCCAAAUUGCCUUUGCCAGCGCAGCUCUCUCUGCUUCCUUCCAGGCUACAAAUUCACCGGCUUCCUGAACAUUUCCACUUGGAUAAUCCACAGGCCCUUCCAACUCAACAUGUCCAACACUGAACUCACGAGCCCCUGCCUUUCCUCCCAGGAGCCGGGAUGUACCCCUCCCCCAGGGUGCAGACUGGCUGCCAAGGCCACACUUUUGGCUAAAAGAGGCACUGCCAGGUGUACAGUCCUGGGCAUGCGCCGUUUGAGCUUCGGGGGAGAGCCCAGCACUGGUCCCCGGAAAGGUGCCUAGAAGAACACGGUGCAGGACCCCGUGGUGAGUAGCGGGCUGGUGGAUGGGGAGGCAAGGGCCAGAGAACCAAACGGCCCUAGACCACAAGGAGGUAGGAGGCAGGGCCUGAGCUGCCCUCAAGAGACCUGCUCCCGGGCUCCCCCUAGCGCAGAGGGCUCCUAAGGCUGCCCUGCCUGCCUUUCCC